rnacentral:rRNA from 1 species
AUUUCGGAGAAGGAGCCUGAGAGACGGCUACUACAUCUAAGGAAGGCAGCAGGCGCGCAAAUUUCCCAAUGCUCAUCGAGCGAGGAAGUGACGAUCAAUAACAAUGUGCGACUUUUUACAAGUUGUGCAAUUGGAAUGACUACAAUUUAAAGAGUUUAAGGAGGAUCAAUUGGAGGGCAAGUCUGGUGCCAGCAGCCGCGGUAAUUCCAGCUCCAAUAGGAUAUAUCAAAGUUGUUGCAGUUGAAAAGCUCGUAGUUUAAGCUUUGAAAAGUUUCUUUUACUAGGCAAGUGGUGAGAAAUCGCAGCUUGUUUUGGUAAAGCUUUUCACAUUGUGGGUCAAACUUGUUUCAUUUGGUGGUUUACUCUAUUGAAUGACAAGCCACUCCGUCACUGAGAGCAAAUUGGAGUGCUCAAAGCAGGCUUUAUAGCUUUGAACACAUUAGCUUGGAAUGACAAGAUAUGACUUUGGUCUUAUUUUGUUGGUUAUUAGACUGAAGUAAUGAUUAACAGGAACAGUAGCGGGGGUACUCGUAUUGAAAGGUCAGAGGUGAAAUUCUUGGAUUCUUUCAAGACGAACGACUGCGAAAGCAUUUACCAAGGAUGUUUUCAUUAAUCAAGAACGAAAGCUUGGGGAUCGAAGAUGAUUAGAUACCAUCGUAGUCCAACGCCAUAAACGAUGCCGACUCGGGAUUGGUAGUAGUUUUACAUUCAAAAAGAAACUCUAUCAGCACCGUAUGAGAAAUCAAAGUCUUUGGGUUCCGGGGGGAGUAUAGUCGCAAGGAAGAAACUUAAAGGAAUUGACGGAAGGGCACACCAGAGGUGGAGCCUGCGGUUUAAUUUGACCCAACACGGGGAAACUUACCAGGUCCAGACAUGAUGAGGAUUGACAGUUUGAAAGCACUUUCUUGAUUUCAUGGGUGGUGGUGCAUGGCCGUUCUUAGUUGGUGGAGUGAUUUGUCUGGUUGAUUCCGAUAACGAACGAGACGGGGGGAGUUUACUAGUUUUCCGCGUUAAUUCACGUUAGCGCAAACUUCUUUACUCGACAACUCGGUUUUACCGAGAGGAAGCGCCCCGCAAUAACAGGUCUGUGAUGCCCUUAGAUGUUCUGGGCUACACGCGCGCUACAAUGACGAGUUCAACGAGUUUUUUUUCCUUGCCCGGAAGGGCAUGGGUAAUCUUUUCAAUGCUCGUCGUGAUGGGGCUAGAUUUUUGCAAUUAUUAAUCUUCAACGAGGAAUCUCUAGUAUGUGCAGUUCAUCAGACUGCGCAGAAUGCGUCCCUGCCCUUUGUACACACCGCCCGUCGCACCUACCGAUUGGACGAUCCGGCAAGAUGUUUGGAGUGUGGGUUCUUGAUGUAAAAGUUGAGAACUUAUGCGAAGCUCUUCAAACCUUAUCGUCUAGAGGAAGGUGAAGUCGUAACAAGGUCUCCGUAGGUGAACCUGCGGAGG